GAUGAACGCUGGCGGCGUGCCUAAUACAUGCAAGUCGAGCGAACGGACGAGAAGCUUGCUUUUCUGAUGUUAGCGGCGGACGGGUGAGUAACACGUGGAUAACCUACCUAUAGGACUGGGAUAACUUCGGGAAACCGGAGCUAAUACCGGAUAAUAUUUUGAACCGCAUGGUUCAAAAGUGAAAGACGGUCUUGCUGUCACUUAUAGAUGGAUCCGCGCUGCAUUAGCUAGUUGGUAAGGUAACGGCUCACCAAGGCAACGAUGCAUAGCCGACCUGAGAGGGUGAUCGGCCACACUGGAACUGAGACACGGUCCAGACUCCUACGGGAGGCAGCAGUAGGGAAUCUUCCGCAAUGGGCGAAAGCCUGACGGAGCAACGCCGCGUGAGUGAUGAAGGUCUUCGGAUCGUAAAACUCUGUUAUUAGGGAAGAACAUAUGUGUAAGUAACUGUGCACAUCUUGACGGUACCUAAUCAGAAAGCCACGGCUAACUACGUG
rnacentral:rRNA from 1 species